AGAAUGAACGCUGGCGGCGUGCUUAACACAUGCAAGUCGAACGGAAUCCAAGGAGCUUGCUCUGGAAGAUUUAGUGGCGAACGGGUGAGUAUCACGUGAGCAACCUGCCCCGAAGACUGGGAUAACACCGGGAAACCGGUGCUAAUACCGGAUACCUUCCAAUGACCGCAUGGUCGAUGGAAGAAAUGUUUUUCGCUUCGGGAGGGGCUCGCGGUCCAUCAGCUUGUUGGCGGGGUAACGGCCCACCAAGGCUUCGACGGAUAGCUGGUCUGAGAGGACGAUCAGCCACACUGGAACUGAGACACGGUCCAGACUCCUACGGGAGGCAGCAGUGGGGAAUCUUGCGCAAUGGACGAAAGUCUGACGCAGCAACGCCGCGUGAGGGACGAAGGUUUUCUGAAUUGUAAACCUCUUUCGACAGGGACGAUAAUGACGGUACCUGUAGAAGAGCACCGGCCAACUAUGUGCCAGCAGCCGCGGU
rnacentral:rRNA from 1 species